rnacentral:lncRNA from 1 species
CUGCCCAUGCUUUCUGACUCGGUUGUACGCAUAGUAAUAGGCAUCUGAAAGCCCUAGUUUGGUUUUGGAUAAUUGAUAAAAUCUUAGUACUAACCUCUAUACUAAGUGUAUGUAGAUUUAAUGAGGUUGGUAUAUGCCAAGUGAUGGAGCAGGUGAUGAUCAUGGUGGUGAUGGUGAUGACUACAAGAUGAUCAAGUCUCAACUUGGAAAAGAAAAAAGAGAAAAACAAAACUCUAUGG